rnacentral:rRNA from 1 species
AGAAUCAACGCUGGCGGCGUGCCUAACACAUGCAAGUCGAGCGCGAAAGGGGAGCAAUCCCCAAGUAGAGCGGCGAACGGGUGAGUAACGCGUGGGUAAUCUACCUCCGAGUGGGAACAACAGCGGGAAACUGCUGCUAAUACCGCAUGACAUCGUCGAGCCUUUCGGGUUUGACGAUCAAAGCCGGGACGCAAGGCCUGGCGCUUGGAGAGGACGCCCGCGUCCGAUUAGCUAGUGGCGGGUACGCCACCAAGGCUCCGAUCGGUA